rnacentral:rRNA from 1 species
GAUGAACGCUGGCGGCGUGCCUAAUACAUGCAAGUCGAGCGAAUGGAUUAAGAGCUUGCUCUUAUGAAGUUAGCGGCGGACGGGUGAGUAACACGUGGGUAACCUGCCCAUAAGACUGGGAUAACUCCGGGAAACCGGGGCUAAUACCGGAUAACAUUUUGAACCGCAUGGUUCGAAAUUGAAAGGCGGCUUCGGCUGUCACUUAUGGAUGGACCCGCGUCGCAUUAGCUAGUUGGUGAGGUAACGGCUCACCAAGGCAACGAUGCGUAGCCGACCUGAGAGGGUGAUCGGCCACACUGGGAGUGAGACAAGGCCCAGACUCCUACGGGAGGCAGCAGUAGGGAAUCUUCCGCAAUGGACGAAAGUCUGACGGAGCAACGCCGCGUGAGUGAUGAAGGCUUUCGGGUCGUAAAACUCUGUUGUUAGGGAAGAACAAGUGCUAGUUGAAUAAGCUGGCACCUUGACGGUACCUAACCAGAAAGCCACGGCUAACUACGUGCCAGCCGCCGCGGUAA